AACGUAGGAGACAAACGUUAUCCGGAGUUACUGGGCGUAAAGGGCGUGUAGGUGGUUACGUAAGUCUGGCGUGAAAUUUCUCGGCUUAACCGAGGCAGGUCGUCGGAUACUGCGAGACUAGAGGACGGUAGAGGCGUGUGGAAUUCCGGGUGUAGUGGUGAAAUGCGUAGAGAUCGGCAGGAACACCCAGGGGGAAACCAGCCGACUGGGCAGCAUGCUGACGCUGAGGUGCGAGAGCGUGGGGAGCGAACCGG
rnacentral:rRNA from 1 species